rnacentral:rRNA from 1 species
CAGUCGCCGCGGUAAUACGUAGGGUGCAAGCGUUAAUCGGAAUUACUGGGCGUAAAGCGUGCGCAGGCGGUUUGUUAAGACAGAUGUGAAAUCCCCGGGCUCAACCCGAAGUCUGCACGGGAAACUACUGGGCUUGAGUAAUGGAGAGGUGAGUGGAAUUUCCGGUGUAGCGGUGAAAUGCGUAGAUAUUGGAAGGAACACCUGUGGCGAAAGCGGCUCACUGGACAUUUACUGACGCUGAUGCACGAAAGCUAGGGGAGCAAGCAGGAUUAGAUACCCCAGUAGUCCCUGUCUCUUAUAC